rnacentral:tRNA from 1 species
AUUCUUAUGGCAGAUUAAUGCGUUAGAUUUAGAAUCUAUUUACUCUAUUUAUUUC